rnacentral:lncRNA from 1 species
AAAUUGGAUUUAGAUAUACCUGUUAUCUUGAAGCUUUAGACCAGCGUGGAGAAUUGGUAUGUACUUUCCUCAACAAAUUGGAUUUAGAUAUACCUGUUAUCUUGAAGCUUUAGACCAGCGUGGAGAAUUGGUAUGUACUUUUUGGGUCGUUUCUAGAUUUGUAUUUUGUUAGUUUGCAUUGUCAUUGGUUUGUGAAUAGUUUAUACAAAAAAUGUUGUAAGUACAGUUGGUUUAUUUCCAAUUUUCUACUUUAUGCAGAGUGGGGUUCCCCCAUCUAUACAUGCCAACUCGUCAGAAAACAUAUACUUGUAUCACUACAUAUUCAAAGAUUUCUU